ACUCGAGUAUAAUUUUAUCACGGUGAUCUAUCUGCUCGUUCAAGUGGACGAUUUCGGAUUUAUUUUGCUCUUUGACAGAGGCUACGGAUUGCAUGAAAGACUGAGACAAAUGUUCUCUUAAUCGCAGAAUUUCAUCGUCUUUUUCAUCUAAUAUUGUCUAACAAAUUUUGAACGAAUUAAAACACGUGAAAAGCUUCAUAAUCAUAUUUCAAUCCUUUAAUUCCCAUAGGCAUCGACAGAUGUAAUCUUCCAUUCAUUCAAAUUACGAGUAAACGUAAAUAAUUAUAAUAUAAAAAAAUAUGUUUGACGUUUACUUUUUAAGUCUUAUAUUAGAAUUUAUAAAUUUUCUUACUGUAUUUUACUAUCCUACCAACAUUUUGGUAGGAUAGUAAAACACAGUAGGAAAAUUUAUAAAUUCUAAUAUAAGACUAAAAAAAUAAUAUUG
rnacentral:misc_RNA from 1 species